rnacentral:misc_RNA from 1 species
GUCAAAUUGAAUUAAUACUACUUAAUCGAAAAUACUGAACUGUUGGUUCGAUUUGAAUUUUGAUGUAAACAGAAUAAUGUCCACCCCCACCCCGUGCCCCACAAUAUCUCUCAACUCCACUGUGAGGAGUUUGAAUUUCUAAGUACUUUUGUAAAUCAAUAGAAAAUGGCAAACAUACAAGUGUUGGUUUAAAUUUGACUAAAAAGAAACUUGGCCUUACACACUCAAAUCGAUCAAUGAAUUUUUCUCAAAGGUUGAGAAUUAAAAAAAAUUCAAGCAUAAUAUUUAUCUGGGAGAUGCCUCACAUGCAUCCUUUUUAAUAACAGAACACAAAACCUGCCUUGAAAUGUAGGUUUCAAGUUCCUUGGAAACCUCUGUCAACUUCAAGUCAAAACUACUUCUGUACUUCUGUUUUGGCGAUGGAACAAUGCCAGAAAACAUGGCUGGAGAGCCUGAAAAUCGUCGUCUUGGACUCGAAAACCUUCCUGGUGAUCCCGGGGCCCUCCCUUUGGAAAUAAGAGGUGUUGAGCCUGAUCCCACAUUUGUCAUAUUCUUGUCUGAGUUCAUCAAAGGUCCACGUUUUGUCUCCAAGGGCAGUGGUUUUAAUGAAUCUUGUUGCACCAUUGGCUUCUGCUUAACAAGCCUUUCUCUGGCCUUCUCAGCUGCUAGCAGAGCUUUCUCUUUGCUCAGCUUUAUCAGCUUCCAUGGAUUGAUACUUACAUAGAAUCCUUGUUUCUUGUUUAUGGUGGAAGGCUCAGGAUCCCUAUCAAUCCUAAUGGACAGCCUUGUUGGGUUCUGAUUUCCUCUAUGUCCUCUGCAAAUAAACCGUGAAACAAAUGUUGGCUUUUCGGGUGAGUCAAAAUCAGAGUCAGAAGAUAAAUCUGAAUCAUCAAAUGGAUCUAGUUCCAUUGAUUGGUGAUCCUCUUUCAUAGCCAGGAUAUAGUCAUAUGUUCUCAUUCCCUUGCGUAUGAGAACUACAUGAAAGAGGAAAAGUUGUCCCAUGGCUGCUGAACUAUAAGCUGUCAUUAAAACCAACAAAACCGAUAUUGUGGCAAGAACCCCUAUUGGGAACUCUACAUAUAGCUUCCUCUGUAACUCCCUCUCUAUCCCUUUCUUAUCUGCAAAGCACCUAAUGAAUAUAGCAAUUGCAGUUCCUCCUUCUAUGAUUAACUGUAGCGAGAACAAUUUUUUAAGGAAAAAGUAAGCAAACAUAGAAACUGAGAGUUGAAAUCCCUUUCAGGAACACAGUUAUAUGAUCUCUAACAACAGAAAGGUAUGAAGCAACUGACCAUUAGCAACACAAAUAACAUUAGAAGAAUGAAUGUUGUGUAGUUCCUUUUUCCAACGCAAUUGUUUAACCACUGGACCACAAAACGCAAACUAGUUCAUGUAUGUUUUUGCAGGCAAAUUUCACAAAGAAAGUUAUGAGAAAUAGAAGGCAGGAGACGAUCAAUAUUAUAUUAAAGAAAAAUUCCCAGUUUCUUACCCUGCAAUGGUGGUCAAACCCUUCAACACAACGGUUGCAGGUCCUACAAUGCUUGCUAUGCUUCUUCACCUGAGACAAGUAUAUUGCACUCGGUAACACCAAGACAAAAUCAUGUUUCAUACUAUGAUCCACAUACGCAUUUCUCUUCUAAUUAUCUUUCAAUUCAAACACUUUGAUAUGAUUCUUGACCACAACAGAAUACAGUUAGUGCAAAUUAAUGGUCUGCCCCACCUCAAAAUCACAGAGUGAGCAAUAAGAGAUGUCGUCAUCUUUAAGAUCAGAGGCAACUGAAUCAUCCUUCAGGACGAGGGGAAAUGGGAGCAAUGGCUCCAUUUGAGCACUGGUCUUCAAUGGAUCCAGGUACUUUCUCCUUAUAAAAGUCCUGAGAAUCUUCCUCUCCAGCCUUCUAAAAAACCUCACAACUAUUUGACUCAUGAUAAACCAAUAAUUAAACUUUGGAAGCCCAUUUGAUUUAGCUUUUUUCUUCUUUUUAAAGCUGGUUUUAUCGGUCGGAUCGAUGGCAGUGCACCUAAUAGAUAAUAACAUAACUGAAAGUG